UCUUGCCCAACUCCCUGCUGUGCUCAGAGUUGGUCUGAGAGUCAGCAGGAGAAAACAAAGCUGAAAACCACUACAGUCCCUUGUAGCUGAGCUGACAAGCUUGGCUGAAACUGGAGCAGGGUGUUCAGAGACAGACAAUGUACAAGCAGAGCAAAGUCUACUCAAAUGUACAGCUAGUGUUGAAAUGAGGAUGUAAGAAAGACCGAAGACAUAAGAAGCGUGAGAGUGGUGCUCCACGUGUUGGGAGAUGAUAAAGGGAGGCAUGGCUUUUCAAGGAAAUGUGAAGAGCAAAACCAAUCUCCUGCCUCAGGAAGAAAACGGAAACAGAAGGAUGGUCUAUUCCUUUAAUGAGAAAUAAACCAAGGAAACAACAGUUGAACAGUCAUCUGAAAGAAGUAAGAGAAAGGACACAGAUCCUCACAGACCUCUUCUGGACCUCCCCCAACAUAUUGGAUUUAAACGUGCAAUCAGAUUCAACUUCAGUUGAAAAAUGUGGGUUAUUGAAUCCUCGUAAGGAGCCUAUUUAAGUUGGAAAGUCAGAGAAGUUGCUGCAGAGUGGCAGCUACAUGUUACAGGGAAAAAAGAGAACAGGCUUAUGGAGACUGAUGCCCAGUGUUACUGUUCAUUCACAUCCACAGCACAACAAUGAAGGGAAGAGACUGGAAGGACACAGCUUGGAAGAAUCUGUUACAUGGAUUAUAAAAUUCACUGUUUUAAGUCUGUUUAAUUUAUUCAGCUUUGUACUUCAUUCUUUUCAGGACCUUCUUUUCUCCAUUAAUGAAUGCAUUGGAACAACAACAAAAAUAAAACUUUGUUGUCUCCAGUAAUGGUACACUUUAAACAAA